rnacentral:lncRNA from 1 species
AAGAGAGAUCAAAACUAAGUACACAAGCAGUUCCUCAGGUAAUUCCAGCUUGAGUGACUUUAGUUUCGAAGCAAGAUGAGACAUUUCCAAAAUAUAAUUCCCUUAUGUUUCCGUUGCCUUUAUACCUCAUGGAAACAAGUUUACUCAAAAAAGUACUUGUUUCCGCCUUUUCGUUUUGUGAAAAACGCUUUUCAAGGUUUUCAAGGAAAACUUUCGCAUUAUUUUCAUCAUUCAUAGUGCCCCUGAAUGAUUCUGGAAUUGCACGUUUCAUGAUCA